UACGUAGGCAGCAAGCGUUGUUCGGAGUUACUGGGCGUAAAGAGUGCGUAGGCGGUGCUCUAAGUUUGGUGUGAAAUCUCCCGGCUCAACUGGGAGGGUGCGCCGAAUACUGAGAGGCUAGAGUGCGGGAGAGGAAAGUGGAAUUCCUGGUGUAGCGGUGAAAUGCGUAGAUAUCAGGAGGAACACCGGUGGUGUAAACGGCUUUCUGGACCGUAACUGACGCUGAGGCACGAAAGCGUGGGUAGCAAACAGG
rnacentral:rRNA from 1 species